ACGGAAGGCAGCAGUGGGGAAUAUUGGGCAAUGGGGGAAACCCUGACCCAGCAACGCCGCGUGAAGGAAGAAGGCCUUCGGGUUGUAAACUUCUUUUACCAGGGACGAUAAUGACGGUACCUGGAGAAAAAGCAACGGCUAACUACGUGCCAGCAGCCGCGGUAAUACAUAGGUUGCAAGCGUUGUCCGGAUUUACUGGGUGUAAAGGGCGUGUAGGCGGAGCUGCAAGUCAGAUGUGAAAUCCCGGGGCUCAACCCCGGAACUGCAUUUGAAACUGUAGCCCUUGAGUAUCGGAGAGGCAAGCGGAAUUCCUAGUGUAGCGGUGAAAUGCGUAGAUAUUAGGAGGAACACCAGUGGCGAAGGCGGCUUGCUGGACGACAACUGACGCUGAGGCGCGAAAGCGUGGGGAGCAAACAGGAUUAGAUACCCUGGUA
rnacentral:rRNA from 1 species